rnacentral:rRNA from 1 species
UUCGGGGCAGCGGAGACAGGUGGUGCAUGGUUGUCGUCAGCUCGUGUCGUGAGAUGUUGGGUUAAGUCCCGCAACGAGCGCAACCCCUAUCCUUAGUAGCCAGCGAGCAAGGUCGGGCACUCUAGGGAGACUGCCGGGGACAACCCGGAGGAAGGUGGGGAUGACGUCAAAUCAUCAUGCCCCUUAUGAUUUGGGCUACACACGUGCUACAAUGGCGUAAACAAAGGGAAGCGAGCCUGUGAAGGUAAGCGAAUCCCAGAAAUAACGUCUCAGUUCGGAUUGUAGUCUGCAACUCGACUACAUGAAGCUGGAAUCGCUAGUAAUCGCGGAUCAGAAUGCCGCGGUGAAUACGUUCCCGGGUCUUGUACACACCGCCCGUCACACCAUGGGAGUCGGAAAUGCCCGAAGUCUGUGACCCAACCUGAGAAGGAGGGAGCAGCCGAAGGCAGGUCGGAUGACUGGGGUGAAGUCGUAACAAGGUAGCCGUAUCGGAAGGUGCGGUUGGAUCACCUC